AAAAAUACACCUAAGGAGCACCGAUGAUAUUGACCCCUUCAUAGGGAGGUUGUCAAUCCUCAAUGAGCCUCAGAAUAAAGAAACAUCUAGUGACAAAUUGCUUAAGUCAAAUAUGCAAACUGUCUACCCUUCUUAGUGUUUUCCAGCAACUCUAACCUUUCCCAAAUUACAUUCUUUACCUUUUAUAUAACUAAGUAUGUGCAAUUACUUCUUGAAAUAUUUUCAUACUUCUAUCAUACCAAAUUUGAUAGAUUGUAGCUCCAUAUACUGGCAUCAUGAUCUUCUUAACUGUACUUCACACUAUUUCCUAGCCACCAUCUGUACAAUCUCUCUUAUGCCCUAUCUAAAAUGGACUCCAAAGCAGGCCUCACAACUAGUCAUACCUCCUUCGUCGAUAUGCAUUGCUGGAACAUGUGUAUAAAAUCUUUCUCUUUAUCCUCUGUACACAACACACACACUCUUUGUUGGCACAAGCAAUGUCAUGCUCUCCAUCCCAUCUUUAGUGAGUAGUCUACCUAGAGUUUCUAACUACAGUAUGAAACUAUGUUUAGGCAGGUUAACUUUAUUUCAUAUUAAAUCAGCACCAAACAAUUUAGUUUCAGAAGGUAGUAGGGACAACUAUCCCCUUGAGAUAGAAUACCUUCCAUUAUUAGUUAGAAAGAAGUGACCAUUAGUGUAUAAACUUAUCAUCUUUCCCUUCAACUUAUGAAGUUAUUUCUAGUAUCAACUGUUAUCUAGAGGUAGAUAUGUUGUCCAGAAAUUAUCUUCAUCCUUCAUAUAUAUACCAUUCACCAACUUAACCCCAAGUAGAUCUCUUUUCUCCAUGAUCAUCCAUAUUAACUUUCUCCCAACAGAUACAUUCCAUAGCUUACUUUCUCUAAUAUUCAAACCACCAUACUUUUUUUGGCUGGCAGAGCUUAACCCAAGCCACAAGAAAAAGUUUCUUCUCAUCAGUUCUCUUCACAAAGACUCCCUAUAUUUUUUAUCAACCUCUUUUAAGAUGGAUUGGGGCAACAUGAACGCAGGGCACCCGAAUUUUUGUAGAGAGAAUAAACCGUGUUUAUUACUUGUAAUUUCCGUGUGUAAUAAAGAUGCCUUGUAGAUACUGCUCUGAUUUUGUCUAUGAUCUUCAAACACAAUUGAUGAUAUUCAACUUUGAUUCAUUUCUUGGGUGACAGAGGUAAUUCCAAGUACCUUAUUGGGAAUGAUCCUAAGUUGAAUCCAGUUAACUGCAAGAUCUCCAAAAACCCUACAUAGUGACAUGGAUUGGACUAUGGUCUCACAUCUUCAGGAGUAUAUUAGAGAUGAUUUAGCUGAUGAAUAAAGCCAUACAUUAUCCACAACGGGUAAAGAAAUAAGGAGCAAGCUUGGUGUGAACAAUGAAUUCAGAAGUGCACAAAUAAAGCUCUUCAAGCUAGAGAAUGCAAGGAUUGAAGCCAAAAACUAAUCAAGAUUGAGAUGUGAUGCAAUCAAAGUCAUAGCUCAAGGUUAAAUAGCAUGUUUGGAAGAGUUGGGAGCACCAAAAUAGUAGUUUACCAUAAUUUUGACGUGCUACAGGGUUAGCCACAAAAUAAAGUACAAGAAAUGGUGUAGGUGUGCGAUAAGAGUGUGUCACACCUACUGAGCCACACAAUAAGAGAGUGCCAUGGCCUUGUGUAUUUUUGGGAAAAACUUAUUCUAUAAAUAUGACACUUAGCUUCUAUUCUUACUUUGGUAUGACUUGGGAGAGAUAAAACAUACGGGGAGGCUUCAAAUAGUGUUUUUCUUGUUUACUUUAGUUCUCGUGUAGCUUUUACUUAUGAAUUCCAUUAUUGUGAUUCUUUGUAAGACUAUGAGUGACUACACACCCUCAUUCUAGGGUUGAGGA